GAUCAUGGCUCAGGAUGAACGCUGGCGGCGUGCUUAACACAUGCAAGUCGAACGAUUAACCCGCCCUCGGGCGGUUAUAGAGUGGCGAACGGGUGAGUAACACGUGACCAACCUGCCCCUUGCUCCGGGACAACCCAGGGAAACCUCGGCUAAUACCGGAUACUCCGCGCAGCCCGCAUGGGAGGCGCGGGAAAGCCCAGACGGCAAGGGAUGGGGUCGCGGCCCAUUAGGUAGACGGCGGGGUAACGGCCCACCGUGCCCGCGAUGGG
rnacentral:rRNA from 1 species